GCCCGCGUAGCUCAGGGGUAGAGCGGGAGGCACCUCCUCCAGGCCGCUGGUUCGAGUCCAGCCGUGGGCA
rnacentral:tRNA from 2 species